rnacentral:tRNA from 1 species
GGGCCAUUAGCUCAGUCGGCUAGAGCACGGUCCUGAUAAGACCGGGGUCUGUGGUUCGAAUCCACAAUGGCCCACCA